CAGGUUAAUGGUUCACUACUUAUAUGAACAAAUGUGUAAGUGGUUUAUGAUUGUGAUUUUAAUGCUAAGCAGGAUUCAUGAAUGAGAAGUGAGAAAGCAUGUUGUGUGAGGUAUUGAGCUCCAGAGUUUUUAUUGAUGUAUAUAUUGUUCACAGGGAAUCAUGAAUGAUAUUCCCUUAGUCUUGAUAAUUAAUUGAAUUUCAUGCUUAUGUCAUAUGAUCAAGGCCAUGCUUGGAAGCCUUUAUUUAGCCAAAUUUUCACCCAAAGUGUUUUAAAUUAUAUACCCUUUUUGAACC
rnacentral:lncRNA from 1 species